GCAGCCAGGCCUCCAGACCCGCCUCGUGUGCACCGGAAGCCACGGCUGUCGUCAGGGCACCGGGGCCCGCCCUCCGCUAGGGGACGGCAGGACCCGGGACCAGCGGCUCCAGCGCGGGCGGCCCUCCGCCCUGGGGCUUCACUAUUGUGGUGACACGACAUUUUUCAGGCUCCGUGUGACACGCAGCACCCGCACUGGAGCCUCUGACGCGUCAAGCACGUGAGGUUGAUCAGAGAGCAGGCGAAGACAGGAGGCCUCCCGGAGUCCUCGCCACCCACACGUGUGCUCACCGGGCAGCCUGACCACCAUGCGCCACUGAGAAGAUGUGGCCCCGCUGGCCGAGGUCACCCUGGAGGGGCCGCAGAGAGAGCUGCAGGCUCACCUCCGUCUGGGCUCAGCGGGUCCUGAGCUCGGCCCGGAGAGCAGGGCUUCGCGGAGGAGCCCAGCAGGACAGAGGCUCCACCACAGCGCUCUUUGCCUCUCGCCACCUUCUGGUCCCUGGGAUGGGAGCCCGCCGUCUCCUGCCCCGUGUCCCUGUCCCUGGCUGGCAGCCUGCGCCUGGUGCCUGGAGGAGGGAGCACUGGACCGGGGGAGGUGCUGAGCGGGGCCCAGAGGUGGGGCACAGGGCGGCCCGGGCACUGCUUCUGGGCUGGGCCCGCUGGGCGGCCCUCUGACUCCUGACAGGAGAGCUGGGCUCACGCCUGACUCCCCACGCCUGCUCCCUCCUCCAGGCCUGCUCCUAGCUCCAGGUUCACAGGGUCCUCUAGAGACCUCUGACCGCAGAGCCAGGGCGGCGUCCAGGCCGUAGGGAUGGCCCGUGCUGCUUCCCUCUGGCCUGCCAACUGCCCGCCGCCUUCUGGAGUGGAGACUGCCCUGACCCCCGGGCCUGCCACCUCGGGCGGUGAGGGGCGCCCUCUCCGGCCUUCGCCCUGCACUGGGGACCUGGGCCUGCACUGGGCCGGCCCCACCAGGAGCAGCACCUGAGGGCACGGCCAGGGGUGGCCCGUCUCCAGACACAGACAGACCCGCAGACAGGGCCAGGCACAGCCCUGGACACAGGCACGGCGUCCCGGGUCGAGGGUGCCUGCCCUCCCCCUGAGUCGGUCACUCCUUCCUCCCAUCAGGCACCGUCCCUCACUGUGAGGCUCCUGACGAGGGUGCCACCCUCCGAUUAGGACCUCCUGCUCAGGGUAUCGGCUUUCUGCUCUCCUGGGGAUGCAGGCGAUUGCGGCCGAGGCGGCACGGCCCUCCUGCACCUGCCAGGCCAAGGCCCAACCAACCCCGCUGCCCACAUUCCAGGCGCUGUCCUCUGGUCACGUCAGGCCCACUUGGGGACAGUCUCCCUCGCACCCUGGCAGGGUCUGUGACCUGCCUCCUGGGCGUGGCAGAGCAUCUGCCUCACCUGGGAGGCACUAGGUUUGACCCUCAGCACCACGUGAAAAAAAAAAUAAAUAA